rnacentral:rRNA from 1 species
UACGGGAGGCAGCAGUGAGGAAUAUUGGACAAUGGAUGGAAAUCUGAUCCAGCCAUGCCGCGUGCAGGAAGACGGCCCUAUGGGUUGUAAACUGCUUUUGUAUGGGAGCAAUAAGGUCUAUGCGUAGACUGAUGAGAGUACCAUACGAAUAAGCAUCGGCUAACUCCGUGCCAGCAGCCGCGGUAAUACGGGGGAUGCAAGCGUUAUCCGGAUUUAUUGGGUUUAAAGGGUGCGUAGGCGGUUUGAUAAGUCAGCGGUGAAAUAUUUCAGCUUAACUGAAAGGGUGCCGUUGAUACUGUCAGGCUUGAAUAUGGUUGCUGUGGGUGGAAUGUGUGGUGUAGCGGUGAAAUGCUUAGAUAUCACACAGAAUAUCGAUUGCGAAGGCAGCUCACAAAGCCAUUAUUGACGCUGAUGCACGAAAGUGUGGGGAUCAAACAGGAUUAGAUACCCUGGUAGUCCACACUGUAAACGAUGAUAACUCGCUGUCGGCGAUACACAGUCGGUAGCCAAGCGAAAGCGAUAAGUAUCCGCCUGGA